rnacentral:sRNA from 1 species
AGCAGCCGCGGUAAUUCCAGCUCCAAUAGCGUAUAUUAAAGUUGUUGCAGUUAAAAAGCUCGUAGUUGAAUUUCGGGGUCAGUAGAUUGGCCGUGCCACUGGUAUGUACUGGUCUUACUGGCUCCUCCUUCCUGAUGAACCGUAAUGCCAUUAAUUUGGUGUUGCGGGGAGACUGGACUGUUACUUUGAAAAAUUGAGUGUUUAAAGCAAGGCUAACGCUUGAAUACAUUAGCAUGGAAUAAUGAAAUAGGACGUUCGAUCUUAUUUUGUUGGUUUCUAAGAUUGACGUAAUGAUUAAUAGGGAUGGUUGGGGGUAUUAGUAUUCAAUUGUCAGAGGUGAAAUUCUUGGAUUUAUUGAAGACUAACUACUGCGAAAGCAUUUGCCAAGGAUGUUUUCAUUA